GGGGAAUCUUCCGCAAUGGGCGAAAGCCUGACGGAGCAACGCCGCGUGAGUGAAGACGGCCUUCGGGUUGUAAAGCUCUGUUAUACGGGACGAAUAGUCUUGUGGUUAAUACCCAUGAGAAGUGACGGUACCGUAAGAGAAAGCCACGGCUAACUACGUGCCAGCAGCCGCGGUAAUACGUAGGUGGCAAGCGUUGUCCGGAAUUAUUGGGCGUAAAGGGCGCGCAGGCGGCUUCUUAAGUCUGUCUUAAAAGUGCGGGGCUUAACCCCGUGAUGGGAUGGAAACUGGGAAGCUCAGAGUAUCGGAGAGGAAAGCGGAAUUCCUAGUGUAGCGGUGAAAUGCGUAGAUAUUAGGAGGAACACCAGUGGCGAAAGCGGCUUUCUGGACGAAAACUGACGCUGAGGCGCGAAAGCCAGGGGAGCGAACGGGAUUAGAUACCCCGGUAGUCCUGGCCGUAAACGAUGGGUACUAGGUGUAGGAGGUAUCGACCCCUUCUGUGCCGGAGUUAACGCAAUAAGUACCCCGCCUGGGGAGUACGGCCGCAAGGUUG
rnacentral:rRNA from 1 species